GACAGAGGUGCCGAGCGUUAGGCGGAAUCACUGGGCUUAAAGCGUGUGUAGGCGGACUUCUAAGUACCUUGUGAAAUCCCACGGCUUAACCGUGGAACUGCUUGGUAUACUGGUUGUCUUGGGCCAUCUAGGGGCUACUGGAACAAACGGUGGAGCGGUGAAAUGCGCAGAUAUCGUUUGGAACGCCAAUGGUGAAAACAAGUAGCUGGGGAUGUGCCGACGCUGAGACACGAAAGCCAGGGGAGCGAACGGG
rnacentral:rRNA from 1 species